GAAGUCCCAGCGCGGGAGGGGUCCCCAAGUUCCUUCGCUCGCAGCUGCAGCCGGAGAAGCAAACUUUGCAGUUGGAAACUUUCGGAUCCGAGUCAGCAUUUAUCUCUCCCGACGAGGGAGAGGGCGGGGAGAGUCCGCGCGCGCGGCGGUGCUGGGGCCCAGGACAGACCCGCGCAGUCGGUGGGGCGCCACCGCCCAAGGAUGUCAAAGGAACCCACCUGGUCACCAACCUGUGUACACUUCCAGCUGGAGCUCGUUCCCUUUGAUCCUGGACCUUGGCUCCCAGAUCCCCACUUUACUGAUUUAAGCAAUCUUGCCCGGAUCUCAGGGGAGGAGUUGGAGAGGUGGCCCGCUCCCAGAUGCCGCAAAUUCCAUUCAGCAAAAAGAACCAGAAAACAAAUGCCCCAAAGCUCCAUCCUGGAGUGAAAAUUGGUUUUCAGAUCCUUCUCCUUAAACCCCAGAUUCCAAAUUUACUUUGUCCUAAGAAUCAUAUGGGAAGAUUGCUUUAAAAGCUCAGAUUCCUGGGUUCUACCCUCUGCUCAUUUAUCAGACUCUUGGGGAAUCCAUAUUUUAAGCCAGAAGCCACAGGAAUAUUUGGUAAAUAGAGCCCCCCAGCAGCCGGUGACCCUCUGAGUCACUUAAAAUACAGUGAAGCUUCCUGGGGAGAUUCUGCAUUUCUAACCAUCUGCCAGGUGAAGUCUUGUCCUGGGCCAAAAGGAUGGGAGUGGACACCUGAAAUAAGGAGAGGAAGGAGCCCUGGAGAGUCAAGUGGUUGGAAACCUAAAGAGAAAACUGGAGAUAGAGAGGAUAAGCUGAACUAACUUCCCCACCACAUUAAUGCAUUUUAUUGCUAUCACUGCAUUAGCCAUAAUGUUUGUUCAGAGACUGCAUGGUGCCUGUAUUGUCCAUCCUGCAAAAUAGAGAAUAGAUGCAAAUCCACUCCAAAAAAAAAAAAAAAAGAUAGCCUUCAGAUGUAGAGAACAACCAUAUGGAUACCAAGGGGGGGAAGGCGGGGGGAUGAAUUGGGAGAUUGGGAUUGCCAUAUAUACAUCACAAAUAAGAAAAAAAUAUCAAAUUGUACACUUUAAAUAUAUGCAGUUUAUUGUAUGUCAAAAAAAGAAA